GCAAGGGAACACCAUGGCCGAGGCCAUCCAUCCCUACAUCUCGCGCUUGAGGAAGAUCCACACAGGUCGAUCUUAAUUUCUCUCCCGGCAUUGGCGUUCCCAAACCCGGCCGCCUGGCAGACUCCGACCGAUGGCGAAGUUGAGGAACAGCGUCGGCGGUCUCACCCUGACCCCAUUGGCGCUGCUAGUUUGGUACCGAUAGGAGGUGGUUCGGCGACUUCAUUAAUCAGAGGAGUAGGCCGGCACCAGGUUAUAUGUACUGCUUAGGCAGGAUCUCAACCAUAUUCCGAAAAUCCCGAGGGCACGAAGAAAUUGCGGCUGCAGCAACAGACAAGGCCGAGCAUCCUGGAAAGAAGAACCUGACACCCUCAACCCCAC
rnacentral:lncRNA from 7 species